AAUAUUAGCGAGUUAACAGGUGCCGGGUAACACCGGUUAAAAGGGAAUCAGGUGAAAAUCCUGAGCGGUCCCGCCACUGUGACUGGUCUAAGGGAUGGUCCGGAUACCACUGGAUAGCCAAGCUAUCUGGGAAGGUGGAUCAUUCUAUGCCAGGAGCCAGGAAACCUGCCUGUUAACCCGUACUCAC
rnacentral:ncRNA from 2 species